CAUCCUGCUAACUCUGUGUGGAUA
rnacentral:piRNA from 1 species